GCGCCCGUAACUCAGUCCGGAUAGAGUACCACCCUCCUAAGGUGGGAGUCGACCGUUCGAAUCGGCCCGGGCGCGCCA
rnacentral:tRNA from 1 species